rnacentral:misc_RNA from 1 species
UGUCAAUGUCGGGCACCGACACCUUGGGCAUGCGGAAGCAUGAAUGCUUUAUGUUAAUGAGCAGCAUUCUGUGUUAAUUAUUAAGGAUUUAUUUUUGGUUGUAAAAGAAAUUUCUUUGAGAUGUAUAAAUCUGGGCAGCUUCCUUACAAGGGAGAAGUUGGCAUUUGUGUUUGAAUAGAGCGAUGCUAGUUGAACGAAGGAG